CAACGCGUGUAUGGGGCGCAGCUGAUCAGCCAUGCCGCGUGAGUGAUGAAGGCCCUAGGGUUGUAAAGCUCUUUCAGCGAGGAGGAUAAUGACGUUACUCGCAGAAGAAGCCCCGGCUAACUUCGUGCCAGCAGCCGCGGUAAUACGAAGGGGGCUAGCGUUGUUCGGAAUCACUGGGCGUAAAGCGCACGUAGGCGGACUGAUCAGUCAGGGGUGAAAUCCCGGGGCUCAACCCCGGAACUGCCUUUGAUACUGUCAGUCUUGAGUCCGAGAGAGGUGAGUGGAACUCCGAGUGUAGAGGUGAAAUUCGUAGAUAUUCGGAAGAACACCAGUGGCGAAGGCGGCUCACUGGCUCGGUACUGACGCUGAGGUGCGAAAGCGUGGGGAGCAAACAGGAUUAGAUACCCCGGUAGUC
rnacentral:rRNA from 1 species